GACCGCUGGGUCAGAUAUUGGACAGAUCUGUCACAGCCAUUUACAAUCACUUUAACUUAAAACACAACAACAACAACAACAACAACGGUUGUCUGUUUUAGUGUCUUUACAAUGAUAAUAUAUUCAAAAGUUGUCUUCACACACACACACGCACGCACGCUCGCAACCCCCACCCCCUCCACCCCCAUAUCUUUCUACAGGACUGCCAGCCCGUCCAGAGUUAUUCCAGGAAUGCGUUGAACAUGGCUGCCGCGAUGAAGGAGCAGAAGACGGGACUGCUGGAACUUCGUGUGGCCGUGGACCGUUGGAUCCGUGUGUUGGCCACUCUGACCGACGACGCGCUCACGGUUAAUCCCGGCGAGGGUGCCGCGGAGCCGGCGAAACCCAACCCGACCCCAGUCGGUGCUCUGAACGGAGACCCUCCGAACCUGAGCGUGUCCCCAGUCCCGGAAACCAUCACCAACGUGAAGCGCACGGUGAGAGUGACCAAGCAAGAUGUUGGAGGACUCGGAAUCAGUAUUAAAGGUGGGAGAGAGAACAAGAUGCCGAUCCUCAUCUCCAAGAUUUUUAAGGGUCUGGCAGCUGACCAGACCGAAGCUCUAUACGUCGGCGACGCCAUUCUGUCUGUCAAUGGUUUUGACUUACGGGAGGCCACACACGAUGAGGCGGUGCAAGCGCUGAAGAAAACUGGCAAAGAGGUCAUUCUUGAAGUGAAGUACAUCAAGGAGAUGUCGGCCUUCUUUAAAAGUUCUGGGACUCCCGGCGCUGGCCUGCCAUGGGACUCUCCCCCGGCCACUCCACAGAAGGGCACUGAGCCGCUGUCAGCUGAGGUGAAGGAGCCUCGCAUCAUCCCCCUGAAGAUGUGCCAGGUGUCACGAAAACAGUGCCCCCCGGACACAGAAAACAGGUAUUUCGAGGUCAUUUCUGCCAACAGGAAGAACUCUGUGUUUCUGCGGGCAAAAGACCCAGCAAUGGCUCAGUCCUGGUACAAUGGGAUUCAGGCCGGCGCUGCCAACCUGUUACCAAGAGUGAAGGAGGAGAUGAGGCACAUGCAGCCAGGAAUGGAAGUGAAACAUCUGGGCUGGGUUUCAGAACAGGUCUCUCAGGGUCCAGAGAGACCGGUUCUAGCUGUGUUGACUGACAAAGACCUGCUCCUGUAUCCAUCGUUGCCUGAAAGCAGAGAGAGUCUCAGCAACCCGACGAAGAGCCACGCGCUCAUCGCUACAAGACUGGUCCACUCGGGCCCGGGAAAAAGUUCCCCUCUGCUCGACUGUGAGCUGUCGUUUGGCCUGCGUUCAGGCACCAAGCAGGGCGUGGAGACCCAUGUGUUCAGGGUGGAUUCUUCCAAGGACUUGUCCACCUGGACUCAUCUGCUGGUGGAGGGCUGCCACAACGCAGCUGAGCUCAUCAAGGAGGUCAAGACGGCCUGCAGCUGGAAUGGAAAAGAUUGCACCCUGGGCGUCCACAUCGACGAGGGCUUCACGUUAUUCACCGAGGAGAUGGGGGUCAGGAAAAGUAUUCUCCUCCAGCAGCCAUUCGAACGCCUCAAGAUGUCCUCAGACGAUGGCGUACGCAUGAUGUUUCUCGACUUCGGUGGUCCGGAGGCAGAGAUUCAACUGGACCUUCACUGUUGCCCCAAGACCAUAGUCUUCAUCAUUCACUCCUUUCUUUCUGCAAAGGUCAAGCGACUCGGUCUCCUGGCAUGAUAGUGGCCAACGCUCCUGGCCAACGCUCCUGAACAUCAGCAGACGACUGUAACACACCAGUGUAUUGGAUCCAGGGAUGGAAGUUCUCUAACCUGCUUUUUUUUUUUAAAAGGCCUCUAAAUUCACCGUGGUCUUUGGUCAGGGGUCUCCUGGUCGUUCCAGUAAGAGGAAGAGGAACCAAGACGGCAGCAGUGACAUCGUUUGUUGAAUGGGGUUGACGUGAAGUCAUUAGAAUAUACUACGCUGAGUGAGUGCCUGAAACUGUACUGUACGUCAUCGACACCGACCUGCUCCAUGCGUCGGACUGUCAAAGGUACAAACUGGCAGUGGAUUCAGACACAGCUGCAAGUCCAGAGAAGUGGUCACAUGGUCGCUGGAAUCAUGAGAAGAUGAGAAAUGAAGUCACACGUUUGAUGUUUGAGACACAGACACUUCCUACAGCUCCCUGAAACGUCUUUAACACAUGAUUGGAGAAAUAGAAUAUUUAGUCUUUUGGUUUUGUUUCCUUUUAUAUAUAUAUAUAUAUAUAAAUAAGCGCAGAGUGAGUCUAAUACAAACACAGUAUUUUAACAGUUGACUUCCUGCUCAUUCAUUGUCUAGUAUUCUUUACCCACAGUUCCGAGGACAAUGGCGUGUCUUUGUGCUCGUUGGCUGCCUGCGGAAGUUUGAACCACGGUGCCUUGCAGGUACUCUGAUUUCAGUUGACCGUUGGUGUGAACGUGAGUGUGAAUGGUGGGUCGUCUCUGCAUGUGGCCAAUGAGGUGGACAGGAGCAGUGUCCAGGGUGUAACUCCGCCCCCUCGUUAACUGCUGGGAAUGGCUCCACCUGUGGCCGUGAAAACUGCUGAGUCACAGCCGUGGUGGAUUCACAACUGACAACGGCUGCAGCUCCCAUAGUUUGGGACAGAGCAAGAGAAAUCCAGCGUUUCCACGGCAACCGCAGAGCGCUCUCAGAUUGGCUGUGGCCGUCUCUUUCCUGUGAACCUCUGAACUGUGAUUUUUUUUUUUUUUUUUUUUUUUUUUGCAGCUGAAAAUUGCCAAUCAUUGUCUGGGGUUGUGUUGUGAGAAGAGACGGUCAAUGAUUGUGUGUGAAUAUGUUUUGAUUAGCAAAAAUGGAAGGGCCAAUUUGGAAUGCUAAGAGAGUGUGUUUGGUGAUGGAAGGGGCCACGGAGAACAUGUGGCAGUCGAAUUAAAUCCAACCUGCAAUCUUGUUCUUUUGUGUUGACGCCAGACGAACAAACAGUACGACAGACACAGAUAAGGAACAAUGACUCCAAACAGUCACCGUGGUGCAUCAAGAGUAGGACAUCAAAUAUUUGUACUUCUGAUCAACCGAAAUCAAAGACAUAAAAAAGGGGGAAACACACAAACAUCCAAAUUAAAAUAAUAGUUUUAUUGCAGAGUUCAAAUGUGUCUUCACUCAGUGAAGAAUUAUAAAAAAAAGAUCCAAUCCAUUCACGCCACAUACCUUAAUAAAGCCACAAAUGUCUGAGGGGUUUUUUGAUUAGAAGAACAAGACAUUUUACAACUUGCUACAAGAACCCAUGUUUUGCUGCAAUUUUGAUCAAAUAACGGCUUUUCAAUAAAGGCCAUAAAAAUCUCGCAGCCCAGCUGCUGCUGCUGCUGCUGCUGCUGCUGCUGCUGCUGCUGCAACAAAAGACAAUAACGUUUCAGUAAACCUGGUUUUCUCUCUCUCUCUUUUUUAGCCCUGAGAACUCUCCAGCUUGUGGUUAAUUGUUUCAUCAGCUCAGUAAAAAAGCUCAUAAGUUACAAACCUUCAGAUUGUACGUCAGUGAAAAGGAUUCAAACCUAUCCACUUGUGGCUAAUUCUUUUUUCUUCGUGAUAGCUGAGCAUACUGUUGUGAGUGGUUUUUGAAAUUAAAAAAAAAAAGUUGCACGAACCAGUUUGAACACAAAUCCAAUUUUCUUGUCAGUUUGCCUCUUUUAGAGAAAGAACCAACAUUUUAUGAAAUUCGGUUUGCCAUUGUGUUCUGUGGAUUUCUAACUGAUGAAAAGGUCAACACGUGAGGUAUUAGACUAAUAGGUGAAUGAACCAAGAUAGCCGACAGGUGGCAGUAGAAUCACGAAGAAGAGGAAAAACAGAAAGUGG